AAAAAGUCAGGACAGGAGGAGAAUGAACUCAAGCAGGUCUCUGGCUCCUGGCAGACACCUGUCUUACAGGCACUGACAGAUCAUCGAACAGUGCGAACGCAGGGAGUAGCUCCCCAGCAUUAGACCAAAAUCCUUGGCAUGCAUGACGGCGGCGUCCAUUCUUCCUGGAGGAUUGGCUCUAUCUGUAAACACAGUGAAUUGGCAUUUAACCGAAAGGCUUCUGUGAAACUAUCCCGCUAAGCUAAGGCAGUGACAACUCCCAUAUUGUCUCAGGAAAAAAUCUGUUCCAGCUAAGCUCGGUGACACACACUUGUGAUGCACAGACGGGUGGGUCACUGAGUCCAGGGCUAUGUAAACCCUGACACACUUCCCUCCCCCCAAAAAAAAAUAUUAACUUUGUAAGCUGCUCCAUGGCUGGCUAAUUUAGCCUUGUGUAUAAUCUUAGCAAGCAGCAGUACAAGGAUUUAUGCAGCGUAAUCCACGAGUUCUGAUGACUGCCAAUUUCACUGAAUGUCCUUGCUGAAUGAAGAGCUUUCUACACAACUUGAUGGCCCGGGAAUUUUACAGACCCACUCAAAACCUGAACCAUGUGGCGGCUUCCUGAAGCAUCCCCCACCCCUUAUUCUCAGUGCACAAGUCCUCCCAGCCACGCAAAGCUCAUCCCCGUGGCUCGGCCAUGCUGGUCUGUCACGGGUACCCAGAUAGCUGCGCGGCUCUGCUCCCUUUGCUCAGCUGUUUGAUCUAGCUGAAGAUCCGGCCCAGCAUCCUCUACCCUAGAAAAGCCCAGAGUGCUUUGCGCCUCAGGAUGGAACCAAGUGUGGAGAGAUCAGAUGUUGACAACCACCCUGUACUUUUGUGGGCGCCCUUCUCAGGAACCACCCCGGAAGGCUUGCAAAUCUCCUGGUCUUCGGGAACCAUUUCUCCUUAGCGAGAACAAGAUCACAAGAGACAUCACACAUCACCCCUUAAAAGAGUUACCGUCUACCGCCGGCAGUUAUUGGUGUGAGAAUUCAUUUCCAACCCCAAUGCGUUGGCUGACACUUAGCAGGGCUCUUGAGGCAGGUACAACCCUGGCUGACACUUAGACUUAGCAGGGCUCUUGAGACAUGUACAACCCCUUCAGAGUAACCAGAGUACCUAGGACCACUUGCCUGACUCUAGCUGUGCAAUCCAGAAGAGCCAGGGGGACUCCCAACUCCUCCCAUGUUGGCUCCAAUGUCACUGCUGGUGAGGGAGACUCUCGGUCCCACCCACCCUAGAGGCUAGGUUCCUGCUGACCAUAAGACCAGAUGAAGGUCAUUGGUGUUUCCCUAUCCAAAGCCCCUUGUUUUUGCUACUGUGGAGGUGUGAUUGAGAGUCCAGUGUGCAUGGAGAUACGUAUACAUGUGUAUAUGCCUUGUGUAUGCAUUAUACAUACAUAUAAGUGAAUCCUACUCGAUCAGACCUGGUGUGUGCUGUUCCUUACCACAUACUGUGUCCUCCAGCUUUUCAGGGAAGUCACCCCGGACCUAUCUACAGAGGGGCCAUCUGGCAAAGGGUGACCACCUCAGUUCCCUUUUGCAGUAGAUACCACAGACCCUCCUUUGGUCCCUGUCUUAGACACAGCCUCUGCCACCCUGGCCUUUGGCCUUGCUGCAUGAGAAGACAGCUGCUUCCCUCUCUACCCUGUAAUUAUUCUUUUACAAUUGAGUGCCUUAAUAAUCGUUUACAAAUACUGUGUAUUUAUGCGCAACCAUUCAACUCUCAUCUUUCAUGGCCGGUCCUGCUGGUUAAGAUAAGACGUGAGUGAUUUCCUCCCUACCCCCAUCCGCUUGUGUUAAUCUGCUAUGCAGUUGACACUGUGGGCCCCGACUAUUCCUCAGAGCCUGCUAGAAACUCCGCUGCCGAGUCCCCACAGGCCAUGCCUGCAUCAGCACACACUGCAGCCUGAGGUAGCCGGUGAUGAAGGAUGGAAUUUGGUUUGCCAGGCAGCCAAGGGGUGGUGCAGGCCCAGCUCUCCCUGAACCACAGCCCAAGACCUUCCCCUGAACCCCUCAAGGCCGCCCGCCCUCUGGUUUAUAGAGGCUUGCCACCACCUAGCCCCUCUUCACACUCCCUCCUCCUCCUCUGCCUGUGUCCUGAGCUCCCUUAUGAGUUAAGGGUACAGCAUACCUCAGAGGAGCCUCGCCAGACCUCGUCCUUCACCUUUCAAAGGCCGCCGGCGCUGGGUUCCCUCGUCGGAUUACAACUUUGACCUGUUGGUUUUUUUUUUUUUUUGGUAUUGUUUUUCUUCCUUUUUUAAAAAAAUAUAUAUUUAAAAGGCAGUAUCUUUUGUACUGUGAAUUUUCAGUAGAAGAGGCAUAGUGCACUUUUGUUUUUUACUUCUGUUGGUGUGUACUGUAUAUAUAGUCUGCGUGCUUCUCGUGAUGAGAAUAAACACUUUCUUUAUAAUG